rnacentral:rRNA from 1 species
AUUGAACGCUGGCGGCAGGCCUAACACAUGCAAGUCGAGCGGAUGAAGGGGGUUGGUCCUGGAUUCAGCGGCGGGAGGGUGAGUAAAGGCUAGGGAUCUGCCCGGUAGUUGGGGGUAAAGUCCGGAAACGGGGGCUAAUACCCCCUUCGGUCCUGAGGAGGAAGUGGGGGGUUUUCGGGACUCCCGCUUUUAGAUGGACCUAGGUCGGAUUAGCUAGUUGGUGGGGUAAAGGCCUACCAAGGCGACGAUCCGUAACUGGUCUGAGAGGAUGAUCAGUCACACUGGAACUGAGACACGGUCCAGACUCCUACGGGAGGCAGCAGUGGGGAAUAUUGGACAAUGGGCGAAAGCCUGAUCCAGCCAUGCCGCGUGUGUGAAGAAGGUCUUCGGAUUGUAAAGCACUUUAAGUUGGGAGGAAGGGCAGUAAGUUAAUACCUUGCUGUUUUGACGUUACCAACAGAAUAAGCACCGGCUAACUUCGUG